GCCAGGGUGGCAUAGUGGUUUGAGUGUUGGACUAUGACUCUAGACACCAGGGCUCAAUUCCCAGCUGAGCCA